UUGUUGGCAGGGGGAAUGUGUUGCUUUUGUUUUUGAGAGUUCUUUCUGCUUUCACAAUUCAUUGCCUUUUGGAAUUACUAUUUCUUAUUUGUUUGAACCAUGUGAAUAUUCUGAUCCUUGUAGAUGGGAAAUGCUGAUUUGCAACUGUUAUUUGAAACUAAUGAUGAAUUUUUUUUUUUUUUUGCAACUUUUCAGGGCGAUAAUGGGUUUAUGUUGUUGCUAAUGGCAUCAAGAAGCAUUUGGCAACUGCAGAACCUGAUUGUAAGCUUUUAUGAUUGGGGAGGAAGUAGUCUGGGUGUCUCAGGCUAUUCAUGGAGUCCCGUUUGCCAAUGUUUAAAAAGGGAAAUACUCAUCUGGAGGUGGUAUUGAACACAUACAUGGAUAGCAUUCUCAUCUGAAUUGUAUUUAUAAUAAGAGGAGGCUCUUUCAUUCUCUCUUUCUUUCCAUACUUUUUUUUGAACUUGUGAUUGUUUCAGUUGUGGGAAUGUUAGAAAUUUGUAUACUGAACGUAUGGCUACAACUGCAAGAAAUUAUCUUUUGUACUGGUUCUCAAUUAUUUUCCCAUGUUGGACAAAUUGGGAAACUCUCACUGGAACUGUCAUAUUUUCAUAAGGGAUAUUCCAAUUUCUAUUUUACAUAUGCAUUAGGGAAGUCUCUUGUUGAAAGACAGCAAUUCAAUCA